CUCCGCCGGCGACCGGCGCACGGGUGAGUAACACGUAUGCAACCUGCCCCUGUCAGGGGGACAACCCGCCGAAAGGCGGGCUAAACCCGCGUACAUGCCACCGGGGCAUCCCGGAGGCAGGAAAGGCUUCGGCCGGACAGGGAUGGGCAUGCGGCGCAUUAGGCAGUAGGCGGGGUAACGGCCCACCGAGGCGACGAUGCGUAGGGGUUCUGAGAGGAAGGUCCCCCACACUGGUACUGAGACACGGACCAGACUCCUACGGAAGGCAGCAG
rnacentral:rRNA from 1 species